GAUGAACGCUGGCGGCGUGCCUAAUACAUGCAAGUCGAGCGAACAGACGAGGAGCUUGCUCCUUUGAUGUUAGCGGCGGACGGGUGAGUAACACGUAGGUAACCUACCUAUAAGACUGGGAUAACUUCGGGAAACCGGAGCUAAUACCGGAUAAUAUUUCGAACCGCAUGGUUCGAUAGUGAAAGAUGGCUUUGCUAUCACUUAUAGAUGGACCUGCGCCGUAUUAGCUAGUUGGUAAGGUAACGGCUUACCAAGGCAACGAUACGUAGCCGACCUGAGAGGGUGAUCGGCCACACUGAAACUGAGACACGGUCCAGACUCCUACGGGAGGCAGCAGUAGGGAAUCUUCCGCAAUGGGCGAAAGCCUGACGGAGCAACGCCGCGUGAGUGAUGAAGGUCUUCGGAUCGUAAAACUCUGUUAUUAGGGAAGAACAAACGUGUAAGUAACUGUGCACGUCUUGACGGUACCUAAUCAGAAAGCCACGGCUAACUACGUGCCAGCCGCCGCCGUAACAC
rnacentral:rRNA from 1 species